UUCUCUGGAUGAGUUGCGAACGGGUGAGUAACGCGUAGGUAACCUGCCUGGUAGCGGGGGAUAACUAUUGGAAACGAUAGCUAAUACCGCAUAAUAGCAGUUGUUGCAUGACAACUGUUUGAAAGGUGCAAUUGCACCACUACCAGAUGGACCUGCGUUGUAUUAGCUAGUUGGUGGGGUAACGGCUCACCAAGGCGACGAUACAUAGCCGACCUGAGAGGGUGAUCGGCCACACUGGGACUGAGACACGGCCCAGACUCCUACGGGAGGCAGCAGUAGGGAAUCUUCGGCAAUGGACGGAAGUCUGACCGAGCAACGCCGCGUGAGUGAAGAAGGUUUUCGGAUCGUAAAGCUCUGUUGUAAGAGAAGAACGAGUGUGAGAGUGGAUAGUUCACACUGUGACGGUAUCUUACCAGAAAGGGACGGCUAACUACGUGCCAGCAGCCGCGGUAAUACGUAGGUCCCGAGCGUUGUCCGGAUUAAUUGGGCGUAAAGCGAGCGCAGGCGGUUAGAUAAGUCUGAAGUUAAAGGCUGUGGCUUAACCAUAGUACGCUUUGGAAACCGUUUAACUUGAGUGCAAGAGGGGAGAGUGGAAUUCCAUGUGUAGCGGUGAAAUGCGUAGAUAUAUGGAGGAACACCGGUGGCGAAAGCGGCUCUCUGGCUUGUAACUGACGCUGAGGCUCGAAAGCGUGGGGAGCGAACAGGAUUAGAUACCCUGGUAGUCCACGCCGUAAACGAUGAGUGCUAGGUGUUAGACCCUUUCC
rnacentral:rRNA from 1 species